UACGGAGGGGGCUAGCGUUGUUCGGAAUUACUGGGCGUAAAGCGCACGUAGGCGGCUUUGCAAGUUAGAGGGGAAAGCCCGGGGCUCAACUCCGGAAUUGCCUUUAAAACUGCAUCGCUAGAAUUGUGGAGAGGCAAGUGGAAUUCCGAGUGUAGAGGUGAAAUUCGUAGAUAUUCGGAAGAACACCAGUGGCGAAGGCGACUUACUGGACACAUAUUGACGCUGAGGUGCGAAAGCGUGGGGAGCAAACAGG
rnacentral:rRNA from 1 species